UACGUAGGGUGCAGGCGUUUAAUCGGAAUUACUGGGCGUAAAGCGUGCGCAGGCGGCUCCUUAAGUCUGACGUGAAAUCUCCGAGCCUAACUCGGAAACUGCAUCGGAAACUAUCCGGCUCGAGGGUUGGAGGGGGGACUGGAAUACUUGGUGUAGCAGUGAAAUGCGUAGAUAUCAAGUGGAACACCAGUGGCGAAGGCGAGUCCCUGGACAACUCCUGACACUGAGGCACGAAAGCUAGGGGAGCAAACAGG
rnacentral:rRNA from 1 species